CAGAUACCACAGUGGUCAUUAUUGUUUCGGUGAGCCUGGCUCUUCUGGUUUGUGCCAUUAUACCUCUUAUAUUCUACGGACACUGCCGGAGUAACCCGGAAGGUCCUGACGCAAACAAGGGUCAGGCUGAUUACUGCGAGGAAAAUGCAGAUGUUGCCUCCACCCAGGCUCCAGUGAGGCUGCAGUCUUUAGAACCAGAUGCUGAUCCAGAGUCCAGUGCUCAGGCUGCUUCCCAGUAUACUGCCAUCUACCAAGCACUCGAUCCAAAAAGUCUGGACUGAGCAGGGUUUAUUCUGUUCCUGAGCUGAUGACUAAUCUCACCCUCCUCUUUGUAUCUGGAAUCAAAUAAAGGAAAAAUAUAUAUAGAAUAUAUUUCUGCUUGAGUGCAUAUUCUCCCUUUGCAUGUCUCAUUUAGUAUAUAGAGUUAAUUAUCUGUGGCACAUUACAGUUUCUUACAAUGAUAAUCCUCAGUGACACGCUUGCUGUCCUCCUCAUCUUCCAGAACAGGAGUUAGUUCACUUAACAUAAUGAAUAAAUCUCAGUCAGACACAUCGGGUGCUGCCUGAUGAAAGUGAAUAAGAAAUGGGGGCGUGUAGAUUUGCAGGAUGAAGCUAAUAUGUGCCGCACAAAGCGGAAGAUUUAAAAUGCUUAAUUAAAACAAAUCCAACAAAGUAAUAAAGUGUAUUACAAAUUACAUUGUAAUGUGUGUUUCCUUUUUAUGUAUGCAUUUACUGUCAUAAGUAGAUGAACAUAUCUAAAUUCACAAUUA